AGACCCGAAACCCGGUGAUCUAGCCAUGGGCAGGUUGAAGGUUGGGUAACACUAACUGGAGGACCGAACCGACUAAUGUUGAAAAAUUAGCGGAUGACCUGUGGCUGGGGGUGAAAGGCCAAUCAAACCGGGAGAUAGCUGGUUCUCCCCGAAAGCUAUUUAGGUAGCGCCUCGUGAAUUCAUCUCCGGGGGUAGAGCACUGUUUCGGCUAGGGGGCCAUCCCGGCUUACCAACCCGAUGCAAACUGCGAAUACCGGAGAAUGUUAUCACGGGAGACACACGGCGGGUGCUAACGUCCGUCGUGAAGAGGGAAACAACCCAGACCGCCAGCUAAGGUCCCAAAGUCAUGGUUAAGUGGGAAACGAUGUGGGAAGGCCCAGACAGCCAGGAUGUUGGCUUAGAAGCAGCCAUCAUUUAAAGAAAGCGUAAUAGCUCACUGGUCGAGUCGGCCUGCGCGGAAGAUGUAACGGGGCUAAACCAUGCACCGAAGCUGCGGCAGCGACGUUUAUGC
rnacentral:rRNA from 1 species